rnacentral:rRNA from 1 species
GUGAGGAAUAUUGCCCAAUGGACGCAAGUCUGAGGCAGCAACGCCGCGUGGGCGACGAAGGCCUUCGGGUUGUAAAGCCCUUUUCCGGGGGACGAGACAGGACGGUACCCCGGGAAUAAGUCACGGCUAACUACGUGCCAGCAGCCGCGGUAAUACGUAGGUGGCCAGCGUUAUCCGGAUUUAUUGGGCGUAAAGCGCGUGCAGGCGGUUUCGUAAGUCGGACGUGAAAGCUCCUGGCUUAACUGGGAGAGGUCGUUCGAUACUGCGGGGCUUGAGGUCGGGAGAGGGACGUGGAAUUCCCGGUGUAGUGGUGGAAUGCGUAGAUAUCGGGAGGAACACCAGUGGCGAAGGCGACGUCCUGGCCCGCACCUGACGCUAAAGCGCGAAAGCGUGGGUAGCGAACGGGAUUAGAAACCCGGGUAGUCC